rnacentral:rRNA from 1 species
CUCCCUUUGUAAUCUGGCGCCUUCGGCGUCCGAGUUGUAAUCUCGAGAAAUGUUUUCCGUGUUAGACCGCAUACAAGUCUCUUGGAACAGAGCGUCAUAGUGGUGAGAACCCAGUACACGAUGCGGAUGCCUAAUACUUUGUGAUACAUUUUCGAAGAGUCGAGUUGUUUGGGAAUGCAGCUCAAAUUGGGUGGUAAAUUCCAUCUAAAGCUAAAUAUUGGCGAGAGACCGAUAGCGAACAAGUACCGUGAGGGAAAGAUGAAAAGCACUUUGGAAAGAGAGUUAACAGUACGUGAAAUUGUUGGAAGGGAAACACAUGCAGUCAGACUUGCUAUUCGGGGCAACUCGAUUGGCAGGCCCGCAUCAGUUUUUCGGGGCGGAAAAGCAUAGAGAGAAGGUAGCAGUUUCGGCUGUGUUAUAGCUCUUUAUUGGAUUCGCCCUGGGGGACUGAGGAACGCAGCGUGCUUUUAGCAUGAGCUUCGGCUUAUCCACGCUUAGGAUGCGGGUGUAAUGGCUGUAUAUGAC